rnacentral:rRNA from 1 species
UCGAGGGUAACAGGGUGCUUGCACUGCUGACGACCGGCGCACGGGUGCGUAAACGCGUAUAGAACCUUACCUUUUACGAGGGAAUAGCCCAGAGAAAUUUGGAUUAAUGCCCCAUAGUAUUAUAGAAUGGCAUCAUUUAUAAUUAAACAUUUAUGGGUAAAAGAUGGCUAUGCGUUCUAUUGGCUAGAUGGUAAGGUAACGGCUUACCAUGGCAACGAUAGAUAGGGGUCCCUGAGAGGGAGAUCCCCCACACUGGUACUGAGACAGGGACCAGACUCC